AAUAAAAUAAAAUAAAGCAAAACAUGUCCCAGUCUCCUUGCGGGCUGCUCCAGAAACCGCACGCUUCGCUUUCAUUCCCACCUUUCUGGCUAGAAUUUGGUCACUUGGCCACAUCUAGGCCCAAGGAGGGCUGGGACACAUUUUACUUUACACACAGUUCUUUGAAAUCAAGUCCUGCCUGGAUGAAGACCUCUUUAAGAUGUAUCCCCAAGGGUUUAACUCAACUCUUCCCUGCAGGUUAGGCCUGCUGGCUCUGUAUCUGGCGUUGGUUGUGGUGGAAGCAGCUGGUCCCCGUCCAGAUGAUAACCCUCCAUCUUGCUGAAGACGGUGAUUGAACCCCCCUGCCCUCUUCCCCAGGACGUUGUGCAGACUGUGGCAGCGCGGUGCCUGCAGCUCCCUAGAGAUUAACGAUGCCUCAAUACAGUUUGCUCUGAAUUCAUCAGCACGGUGGAAGAAGACAUUGGGAAGUGGGCUGGAGGACUGGACGACGGAAGUAGUCACCAUAGUAGCUCGACUCUCUGCUAGAUGAACACUUGGCUGACUCUGGCUGACUGGCCACAGCAGACCUGGGAAGUGAGAAUUAUCCCCGUUUUAGAGAUGAAGAACCUGAAGUUAGGCAACCUGCCCAAGGUUACCUAGCCAGCAGGUGACAGGUAUGCUACGAAAUCAGACAGCGUGCAUGUCUGAUCUCAUUUGGUCCUCAUAAGACCUCUACAAGAAAGGCAUUGCCCCCAUUUAAGAGAUGAACAAACCGUGACUCAGAGAGGCUAACUUGCCUCUGGUUCCACUUCACAGGGCGCAGACACUAGUCACAGACUCAGGCGUGCCUAAAACCAGAGCUCGGCUCGUCCCCCAAACCCCACGGCAGGCGUCUGGUGCCCUGUCAGCAGUUCCAAAGGAGGUUUUGCAACGGGUUGACAUCCAGUGACAUAAAUCUGCCCCAAGCUAGGAUCCUCCUUCGUUGCUUAGUGUUAGAGAAAGGGUUUGACGUUUCUCUGCAUCUGCCCUCAGCGUUCCGACUUGCUUCCUCCGUGAGGCUGCCUGGCGGCGGUGAAAGGGCCAGGCCCUGAGGUGAGGGAAUUACUUCCCCUCGCCGGCUGUUCGCGGCGGCGCGGCCGUCCUGGCUCACGGUCGUUUACUCAGAGAUGAGAAAGCUCUGUCUGGGUCACGUGAUGCAGACUAGAUGUGGUGGAGAGUGACAUGCGCCAGGUCCAGAAAGGCGGGUGCACCCGGGCACGGUCACGUCUGCCGGGCCCUCCGGGCAGGUAUGACUUUCCAGCGCGACGUUUCAGACAUGACUCGCGCGCGGCUGCCAGCCCAGGUGGCUCCGGUGCCUGCGUCGCCCUGACCUUUGUUUUCGCUGGGCCUCUUUCUUCCGCUGCUGGCAGGCCCCUGUACUCCACCGUCUGGGCUGGGACGAGUCAGGUAUUUGUGGUCCGUGGAGAGAAAGAACCCACUUUGACAGGGAAGAAGCUGCUUAGAAGAAAGGAAGGAUGAAGGAAGUUAAAGAAACUAACAUUCCCAGCCCUGCGGGCGCCUCUGCACGCCCCCUCCCCUCCAGACUUGUAUUCUGGUGUUUUGUUUGGCCUUCCUUCCUUCCUUCCUUCCCAUUCAGAUUUGUUCUAAUAUCUUACCCAAUGUGAGCUCAGUUUGGUGGAGCGAAUUUUAACCAAGACAUGAACUGCCAUUUGAAAGCCUGUAUGUGUAUUUUAUACCUUUGACCCCUUGUAAAGUACGUAGAGCUUUUAUGAGCCAACGCAACUCGUGGACAAUCAAGCCCAGGAAUCUCCUCGCCCCCCACGACCACAGUUCAAGCCAGUGGUGCCCGAGAAAGUCUGUGGCUGGAGCAGUAAGAAGGAACUCAGACUCAGCCUGGGAAAGGUAGACAUGCUCUGAAAUAUUGUAAUCAGUUAUUCUGUUUACAGGACGACAUUAGCGCAAGGAUACACACCAAGUAUGGCCUCAGCUCUCCCACCAGCCAGAGCUGAGGACACAGUAAGUAACACGUGUGCUCCGUGGCAGUGAAUCAGACCGAUGGCAUUUGUUUUGGGGGAGUAAGUUAACGCUACUCAUGCUGAGCCUUAGCUGCUAAAAUCUAAUUGUGUGAAAUCAAAUUAACUUCCUGUGUGUAAACAGAGCCCCGUACCAACAGCUCCGCUGCCUGCUCUCUGUCACUGGACCUGAGAAGCUGCAGUCUAGUCUGGUGGCCAGAGUUCACGCUGCUGGAACCGUCUCAUGGGCAGCUCGUUUCCCACCGGUGUGCCUUUGCAUCCGCGUCUGUGAAGUGGGGUUAAUGAGUGUCGACCUUACAGCACUGCUGUGUGGACUCAGUGAGUCAGCACGCACGAAGCACUCGGGGCAAUGUCUAGCACGCUGCGUGCUUGGUGUAUUUUAAUGGUUUUCAUUGAUGAUGAAAUAAAAUGUUUCUAAAAUA